GUGGAGCUGUGAAGAGAACAAUUCUCAGACUGGAUGUUGAACAUCAGCUAGUUUCUCCUGUUGAUUUAAAGCUUGUUGUAGAGAUGGAACAUUGGCUGGGGAUUAUUCUUGCUGCUCUUUUCUUUGAGUGUAAAGGAGAAGACAGAGUGAUCCAGCCACCAGGAGAUGUCAUUACUACUGAAGGAGAGAUACAUACUCUUGGCUGUACAUUUGAGACCAGUGUUAGCUCCAAUGCAUAUUUGUUCUGGUACAAACAAGAAGUCAAUGACUCUCCUAAAUUUAUUUUGAGACGUGAUACCAUUGGAACAAAAUCUAAUGCUCCAGAGUUCCAGAGAGACAGAUUUGAUGCUAAAAUCAACAAGACAUCAGUUCCUCUGGAGAUCCAGAAGCUUCAGCUGUCUGACUCUGCUGUGUACUACUGUGCUCUGAGGCCCACAGUGACAGGAAACACCAAAACUCUGUACAAAAGUAGAAUCCAAAAUCCUGGAUGCAGCUGUCACUCUGUUCCUGCUCCACAUCCUGCGAUUCCCUGUUACAUCCUGCUAUUCUUUGCUUUGCCUUGUAAUGCCGUGCAGUGCCCUGCUAUGCCUGCUACUCUCAUCCAGAUCCAGUCCUACCACAUCUUUAAAUUAUUAGUAGUCCUUUCGGUGCUUUAG